ACAAAUAUAAGGAUUAUAAGAAUAAAAUCAUAUUGGGCCGUACAUAAAACUUUUUGGCCCUUGCAAAAAUAUGUUGGGCCUUGUACAAUUGUCUUGAUCCAAUAAGGAAAAAGAUAAACCCUAAACGCUCUAACCUUCUUUCUUCUCCUCUGCCGUCUGAAAUUGUUGCGAUUUCCUUUCUCCAUCUUCUCACCUUCGCUUCUCCUUGCUUCUCUUCUCACCUCUAAGCUUCUGUUUGCCUCCAUCAAUCGACGCCAAGUGACGAUCGAGUUCUUCUCAACUACUGCAUCGCAGGUUCAUCAUCUUCUCACCUCUUAUCACCCUCUUAGAGCAACUCCAUCGAAGAGAACUCAUAAUGAGUUCUCUUCAAUAUUUUUUAUUAAUAAUUUUGAAAAUUUGUUUAAUUUAUGUCUCUCCAGUGGUUGAGUUCUCAAGUUGGGGUUCUUUUAAAAAAUUUUAAAGAAAAGAUAGAGAGACUGAGAGAAAUUGAGACAGAGAAUUUGAUGAAUGAGAAGAAUCGUGUUUCCUCCCGUAGGAUGUGAAUGGUUGUUCAAGAAAAGAUAGAGAGAUUGAGAGAAAUUGAGACAGAGAGUUUCAUUGGACACAGAGAAAUUGAGAGGACAGAGGAGAGAGUAGAGAAGAUUGAGAGGAGAGAGAGAAAUAGUGAUUUCGUUGGACACUGAAAAUAGUGUUUUUUUUUUUCUUUUUUUUCAUAAAAUUUCAACCAAUCACAUACGAGCACAUCAUCGGUCGCUGAAGCUCUGUAAACUCUCAAUGCAGAGCCGGUUCUCUCAUGGUUAAUGAUUUUUUAUUUUUAUUUUUUCUUUUUAAUCUACAGAUACUCAUAAGAGAGCCCCUGUUGGAGUUGGUCUUAGUCUCCUCUUCUUCUUUUUAUUUUGCAUGCUUAUAAGUUCUAACUUUUCUUCUCUUAUUCUUUGUAUGUAAAUGCAAGCGGUUCCAAGUUUCCUCUACAAUCUAUCGCAUUCAUCACAGUAACGGCCAACUCAAAGCAGCUUUCAAAAUGUCAAACCGGAACCGAUCGAGCCAAAGAAUGAGAGAAGAGUUCUCUUGGACUCCUGUACCACCUCUCC
rnacentral:lncRNA from 1 species